CAGUCGCUGGCUGCGGUGGCUGCUGCCCCACGGGAGGAGCUGGCACUGUGCCCAGGGAUCGGACCCCAAAAGGCCAAGCGUCUGUUUGAAGCCCUACACGAACCCUUCCUGAAGACCCCCAAAAACCCCACAACUGCCCUUUGAUCCUAUAAACCAACGAACCCAUAAACACAACAAGCGCCGCACUGCGA